rnacentral:rRNA from 1 species
ACUCAAAUGAAUUGACGGGGACCCGCACAAGCAGCGGAGCGUGUGGUUUAAUUCGAUGCGACGCGAAGAACCUUACCUGGGCUUGACAUCCUCUUGCAACACCCUGAAAGGGGUGCCUCCGCAAGGACAGGAGGACAGAUGCUGCAUGGCUGUCGUCAGCUCGUGUCGUGAGAUGUUGGGUUAAGUCCCGCAACGAGCGCAACCCUUGUCUGUAGUUGCAUUUCUACAGAGACUGCCGGAAACAAACCGGAGGAAGGUGGGGAUGACGUCAAGUCAGCAUGGCUCUUACGUCCAGGGCUACACACACGCUACAAUGGACCGUACAACGAGAAGCCAUCCCGCGAGGGAGAGCAGACCUCUGAAAGCGGUCCCCAGUUCAGAUUGCAGUCUGCAACCCGACUGCAUGAAGGCGGAGUUGCUAGUAACCGCGUGACAGCACAGCGCGGUGAAUAUGUUCCCGGGUCUUGUACACACCGCCCGU